GGCUCUGUGGUGUGACCAUGUCGAAUUGCAAAUUCGAAGAAGCAGCUUCAAUUCUGCCGGGGCUU
rnacentral:tRNA from 1 species